rnacentral:rRNA from 1 species
AACGGGGGGGGCGAGUGUUAAUUCGUCAUAAUUGGGCGUAACGGGUUCGUAGGCGGCUUUUUAAGUUUUAAGGUUCAAAGGUCUCAACAACGAUGUCAGUUUGACCUUUAUUACUGUUAAGCUUUGAGACUAAUAGAAGAUAGUGGUACUCUUGAUGUAGAGAGUGACAUUCAACAAUAUCAAUGGGGACUAACCUUUGGGCGAAGGCAGCUAUCUAGAUUAUGUCUGACGUUGAAGGAACAAAGGUGUGGGGAGCAAACCGUUU